AUUGAACGCUGGCGGCAGGCCUAACACAUGCAAGUCGAACGAGUGGCGGACGGGUGAGUAAUAUCUGGGAAAAUCCCCGAUAGAGGGGGGUAUAUAAUCGAAACGGUAUCUCUUACAGCGUACAAUAUGAUGUGCCCAGAUGGGAUUAGCUCGUAGGUGGGGUAACGGCUCACCUAGGCGACGAUCCCUAGCUGGUCUGAGAGGAUGACCAGCCACACUGGGACUGAGACACGGUCCAGACUCCUACGGGAGGCAGCAGUGGGGAAUAUUGCACAAUGGGCGCAAGCCUGAUGCAGCCAUGCCGCGUGUAUGAAGAAGGCCUUAGGGUUGUAAAGUACUUUCAGCGGGGAGGCGUUACUCGCAGAAGAAGCACCGGCUAACUCCGUGCCAGCAGCCGCGGUAAUUC
rnacentral:rRNA from 1 species